UGCUGCUUCACAGAGUUUCUGACAUAUUGUAGAAGCUGUCCGAAUCUUGUCGGCUCAACUUCUGAUGCAGCUACAGCUACAUCAAACAAAGUAUUGGGCUGCCAUUUUCCAACAGGACAAUGGCCGCCCACAUGCGGUACAUCUCCCUAUGAACUGGUGCGUGAUGACAUGGGCCAGAUAGCUUCAUGAGAGGAUACAGCGGCUUUAUAACACUCUUUCCAACCGAAUCACUUCAUGGUUCCAUGCCAGACUGGGUCAGCAUCGUACUGAGAGUUGCAGUUGUCCUGUGUUUGUCAAAAGCUGCUGUAAGUGCCAACGCCUUGGCGGGGAGUGAGGUGUGGCCCGCAGCCUAGGCCCUGCUGUGUUUACGUAACCCUGCCACGGCCGGAUUGCUUUGGGCGAAGACCCCAUACAAAAGGAUUAGUAUAUCUUUUCCUUCCACCAAGGCGGGUAAAACGCGUUUUGUAAUUUGUGAUUUUCUGAUGUUUAAACAAAUAGACCUGCAACUAAGUGUAAUCUGGGUUUGUUUCACGGCAAUCUUUCCUGCUCCCGUUACAUAUCUAUGUUCUAAGGAAUUGUGGUUAACCACAUGAGGGGAAGUUGUUUGGGCAAUGUAGGGCCGUGUAGCGUUCAAAUGCAAUUAAGUGGCUGGCCCACUCUGAUAGGAACUGUACUGUCAGUUGUAAGCUUUCGUUAAGUGUGGCGAAGCCACGGCAAUACUGUGUUUGCUAGUUGUUUCUGAACUGUUUUACAUGCACUUUAUGGUUAUACUUGUUUUGUGUCAAUAAGAACUUAUACCAAGUAACUGCUGCUUGUGGUGAAUA